rnacentral:rRNA from 1 species
AGAAUCAACGCUGGCGGCGUGCCUAACACAUGCAAGUCGAACGAGAAAGUGGAGCAAUCCACAAGUAAAGUGGCGCACGGGUGAGUAACACGUGACUAACCUACCCUGGAGUGGGGGACAACUGAGGGAACCUUAGCUAAUACCGCAUAAUACCUACGGGUCAAAGGAGCAAUUCGCUUUGGGAGGGGUCGCGGCCGAUUAGUUAGUUGGCGGGGUAAUGGCCCACCAAGACGAUGAUCGGUAU